rnacentral:tRNA from 1 species
GGAUUGUGGCUUAGUUGCAGAGUGCAUGCCUAGCAUGUUUGAGGCACUGGGUUCGAUUCUCAGCACCA